ACGGUCACACCACCCUGAGCGCGCCCGAGCUCGUCUGAUCUCAGAAGCUAAGCAGGGUGGGCCUGGUUAGUACUGGAUGGGAGGACUGGGUGGAUUUAAGGAUUUAAAGUU
rnacentral:rRNA from 1 species